rnacentral:rRNA from 1 species
AUGAUACUCUUAGGGUGGAACUGCCGCGGGAUGCGUCAGUCCCGGGCAGUUCGAGCACUUCGGGAGGUCCAGAGGUGCUACAAACCAGAUGUGCUAUUUCUUUCAGAGGCACAUCUCUCUGACGCAGAGGCGGAGAAAUUGAUGACAAAACUAGGGUUCCAGGAGAGGCUGGUGGACCCGAGUGAUGGGAGGGCAGGGGGUCUUGUGAUGUUUUGGAGACGCGAU